GAUGAACGCUGGCGGCGUGCCUAAUACAUGCAAGUCGAGCGAAGCGGGGACGGGUGAGUAACACGUGGAUAACCUCCUCUAAGACUGGGAUAACUUCGGGAAACCGGAGCUAAACCGGAAUCUUAUAGAUGGAUCCGCGCUGCCUUAGCUGGUUGGUAAGUGAACGGCUUACCAAGGCAACGAUGCAUAGCCGACCUGAGAGGGUGAGCGGCCACACGGGAACUGAGACACGGUCCAGACUCCUACGGGAGGCAGCAGUGGGGAAUAUUCCGCAAUGGGCGAAAGCCGGAUGGAGCAACGCCGCGUGAGUGAUGAAGGUCUUCGGAUCGUAAAACUCUGUUAUUAGGGAAGCGGUACCUAAUCAGAAAGCCACGGCUAACUACGUGCCAACAGCCGCGGUAAUUC
rnacentral:rRNA from 1 species